CCGCGGUAAUACGGAGGAUCCGAGCGUUAUCCGGAUUUACUGGGUUUAAAGGGUGCGUAGGCGGGUGGCUCAGUCGGCGGUGAAAUGCAGCGGCUCAACCGUUGCCCUGCCGUCGAAACCUGGCCGCCUUGAAUUCGGUCGAGGCCGGCGGAAUGCGCGGUGUAGCGGUGAAAUGCUUAGAUAUCGCGCGGAACGCCGAUUGCGGAGGCAGCUGGCUGGACCGAGAUUGACGCUGAUGCACGACAGCGUGGGGAUCGAACAGGAUUACGAUACCCCGAGUAG
rnacentral:rRNA from 1 species